rnacentral:miRNA from 1 species
ACCCCUCCUCCCAGACCCUCCCACCUCCUGGACAGCUCACUAAGAAUGCAGCUUCACAAUGGAUGCUGUCCAGGAGGUGGGAGGGUCUGGGAGGGAGGGUC